CGUAGGGGGCGAGCGUUAUUCGGAAUUAUUGGGCGUAAAGGGCGCGUAGGCGGCUUGUUAAGUCAAAGGUGAAAUCCCUCGGCUCAACUGAGGAACUGCCUUUGAAACUAGCGAGCUUGAGGCCGGGCGGGGGGUAGCGGAAUUCCCAGUGUAGCGGUGAAAUGCGUAGAUACUGGGAGGAACACCAGUGGCGAAGGCGGCUACCUGGACCGGUACUGACGCUGAGGCGCGAAAGCGUGGGUAGCAAACAGGAUUAGAUACCCUGGUAGUCCACGCUGUAAACGAUGGGUGCUCGGUGUCGCGGGUAUCGACCCCUGCGGUGCCUUAGCUAACGCGUUAAGCACCCCGCUGGGGGAGUACGGUCGCAAGGCUAG
rnacentral:rRNA from 1 species